rnacentral:rRNA from 1 species
CAGUCGCCGCGGUAAUACGAAGGGGGCUAGCGUUGUUCGGAUUUACUGGGUGUAAAGGGAGCGUAGACGGUUAAACAAGUCUGAAGUGAAAUGCCGGGGCUCAACCCCGGAGCUGCUUUGGGAACUGUAGAACUGGAGUGUCGGAGGGGUAAGCGGAAUUCCCAGUGUAGCGGUGAAAUGCGUAGAUAUUGGGAGGAACACCGGCGGCGAAGGCGGCUUACUGGACGACAACUGACGUUGAGGCUCGAAGGCGUGGGUAGCAAACAGGAUUAGAUACCCGAGUAGUCCCUGUCUCUUAUAC